AGGCUGUUGUGUGAUGACUGCAUAGUUCAGCUGAUCAUCUGUGAUGAUCACAGUCACUGUCUUUUGCCCCUGUCUGAUGCAGCCU
ensembl:snoRNA